AUACCUUUCUUGGCCUUUUGGCUAAUAUAAUGUAGUAUCUACGAUUUAAUAUCUGGUAUGUGGGCCAUAUGUUCACUUUAAUUUUAAAUUUAUUUUUUGUGGGGAGGGUCCACUUUAAUUUUUUUGUGGGGAGAGUCCACACUAGCUUUCCAUUGGACCAUCGGAUUUCGUACAACUG
rnacentral:snRNA from 1 species